rnacentral:lncRNA from 1 species
GGCACCAUUGUUUGAGCCUGGUGAACUCAAGUCAUGGUCUUUCUACAGAGCUGGCAUUGCAGAGUGUAUGGCCACCUUCUUGUUCCUUUACAUCACCAUCUUGACUGUCAUGGGUGUGUCUCAGUCUAAGACAAAAUGUAAUAAUGUUGGUAUUCAAGGCAUUGCUUGGGCCUUCGGUGGCAUGAUCUUUGCUCUUGUCUACUGCACUGCUGGCAUUUCAGGUCUCCUUCCUCAAACUUUUAAUGGGUAGUCUGUAGAUUUUGGUUUCUUUGGCUAAUUUUUCAAACUCCAAAAAAAAAAAAAAGGGUUUUGGCUUUGGUUUCUAUGGCUAAUUACAAAGCUUGGAACUUUUUCUUGCAUAUUACACCUUAGGCUAACCUAAUAUCUUGAAGAUGCUUAAGAUUCUUUCGUAAAAGAUGUUUAAUAACCAGAUCUGCAUUUGUUUUUUGUGACUUCAGGUGGCCACAUCAACCCAGCUGUGACCUUCGGGCUGUUACUGGCUAGGAAGCUGUCCCUUACCAGGGCAGUUUUCUACAUCAUCAUGCAGUGCCUCGGUGCCAUUUGUGGAGCUGGUGUAGUGAAGGGAUUCCAAGGUGACAGUCGAUAUGAGUUGUUGGGUGGUGGAGCUAACGUUGUGAAACCUGGUUACACCAAGGGUGAUGGUCUUGGUGCUGAGAUCAUUGGCACUUUUGUUCUUGUCUACACCGUUUUCUCUGCGACUGAUGCCAAGAGAAACGCCAGAGACUCUCAUGUUCCUGUACGUAUUUUUUUUUUCCUUGUCCUUGUAUGUUUUACUUGACUUUAAAUUUACAUGAAACAGAUUAUCUGCCUUUAAUUAAUCAUUAUCUUUUUGUUUCUCAUAACUUGAUUUUGCAAGAACUGUCAUUAAUCGUAGUGGAUAUAACCAUCUGUAUGGGUAUUCUAUAGAUAUCAACUAGAGGGGAACUUUUACUGCCUAAGCAGCAUAGUUUAAAACGAUAGCUAGUUUUCUUAAGUUUUAGCUAGGUUCAACUCCACACCAAGUUGUUUGAGGGGUUUUUUAAUCAAGGCAAAAGUAAAGGAAAAAAGUUUUAAGACUGAAGUCCUCUUAUAUGAACCCCUAACUGAUGACCUCAUUGCAUCCAGUUUGGAUUGAGACCUACCUAUAUGUUAGUUCUAUGUUUGUUAGAUGAAAAAUCUAGCAUCAUGCAGAAAUGGCCACCUUAAUCUACCAUGAUUUUUUAUUUUUUAUAAAAUUAAAACGGCAUAUUGGUACUACAACACAAGCAUUACUUCUACCAAAAUAGUGGUGGGAUAGAUCAUACACUUCAAUGGCCAUAUGUUAGCGACGCUAGAAUGAUUCUUGUUCAAAAGGUUAUGUUUUCUUAAAGAGAAUGAUUAGGUGUGUUCAAAAUCUUAUGGUUUUGAUACUUAGAAUACAAGGGGGAAAGAAGUUGGGAAGUUGGAGAAAUCAAAGAAAAGAAGGUUAAAAAAAAAUCUGAUUUCAAUAUCCAAACAUUCAAAGUCUAGAUCAAAAAAGAUAAUAGAUAAUAUUUAAAGUAAUUCUGAAUCCUUACUAAUGUCAUUUUUACCUAGUUUGAACGUUUUGCUUUUAAUUGGAAUUUCUCUCUAUUUUUCUUUGUUCUUUGUUUUACUUUGUCUUUCUUUUCUCUCAUUAUCUUUCUUCUAAUUCUAAUUCUCCAUUGUUCUCUCCUUAUUGGUAAAAAAUGUUGGUAAAAAAAUGUCGUAUAGUCUCUAAUUCUUUUUCAUACUAGCGUGGCAAGGAGUUAGUAAUUAAAAUUCUUAUUGUGCUUUUUUGUUUAUUUGAAACUAAACCAGCCACCUCAAAUUGAAAACCGAUUGGAACUCGCUGUCUAAUACAUUCCACUCUCCUAAAUAUGCAAAAUUUACUUAAAUUAGAGGUGAAUUUCUUGAAUUGUAGCCCUUUUUAAUGUAUUUCUGGCCACUACAUUGCAGAUUUUAGCUCCCCUUCCCAUCGGGUUUGCAGUGUUCUUGGUUCAUUU